rnacentral:misc_RNA from 1 species
GUUGAUGGAAGGCUUGGAGGAAAAUUUCCAGCAGAUGAGGCAAUUCCAGUAAUAAAACUUGGUUUAAUAUGUGCAUCUCAAGUGCCAUCAAAUAGGCCAGACAUGGAGGAAGUGGUCAAUAUUUUAGAGCUGAUCCAAUGUCCUGCAGGGGACCAAGAGGAGUUGGAAUGAGUAAAGAUACAAAAGUGUUUGUGCUCUCCGGCGAAGUAGAAUCCGGUUUUGUU